rnacentral:rRNA from 1 species
AGUGAACGCUGGCGGUAGGCCUAACACAUGCAAGUCGAACGGCAGCACAGUAAGAGCUUGCUCUUACGGGUGGCGAGUGGUGGACGGGUGAGGAAUACAUCGGAAUCUACUUUUUCGUGGGGGAUAACGUAGGGAAACUUACGCCAAUACCGCAUACGACCUACGGGUGAAAGCAGGGGAUCUUCGGACCUUGCGCGAUUGUAUGAGCCGAUGUCGGAUUAGCUAGUUGGCGGGGUAAAGGCCCACCAAGGCGACGAUCCGUAGCUGGUCUGAGAGGAUGAUCAGCCACACUGGAACUGAGACACGGUCCAGACUCCUACGGGAGGCAGCAGUGGGGAAUAUUGGACAAUGGGCGCAAGCCUGAUCCAGCCAUACCGCGUGGGUGAAGAAGGCCUUCGGGUUGUAAAGCCCUUUUGUUGGGAAGGAAAAGCAGCAGGUUAAUACCCCGCUGUUCUGACGGUACCCAAAGAAUAAGCACCGGCUAACUUCGUG